GUGAGGAAUUUUCCGCAAUGGGCGAAAGCCUGACGGAGCAAUGCCGCUUGAAGGAUGAAGGCCUAUGGGUUGUAAACUUCUUUUCUCAGAAAAGAAUUAUGACGGUAUCUGAGGAAUAAGCAUCGGCUAACUCUGUGCCAGCAGCCGCGGUAAGACAGAGGAUGCAAGCGUUAUCCGGAAUGAUUGGGCGUAAAGCGUCUGUAGGUUGUUUAAAAAGUAUUCUGUCAAAGAUUAGGGCUUAACCCUAGAUAGGCAGAAUAAACUUUUAAGCUAGAGUUUGGUAGAGGCAGAGGGAAUUCCCGGUGGAGCGGUGAAAUGCGUAGAUAUCGGGAGGAACACCAAAGGCGAAGGCACUCUGCUGGGCCAAUACUAACACUGAGAGACGAAAGCGAGGGGAGCAAAUGGGAUUAGAAACCCGUGUAGUCC
rnacentral:rRNA from 1 species